UACGUAGGGGGCAAGCGUUGUCCGGAUUUAUUGGGCGUAAAGCGCGUGUAGGCGGCCACGCAGGUCCGCUGUGAAAACUCGAGGCUCAACCUCGAGCUGUCGGUGGAAACCGCGUGGCUAGAGUCCGGAAGAGGGGACUGGAAUUCCCGGUGUAGCGGUGGAAUGCGCAGAUAUCGGGAGGAACACCCGUGGCGAAGGCGGGUCCCUGGGACGGUACUGACGCUGAGACGCGAAAGCAUGGGGAGCGAACAGG
rnacentral:rRNA from 1 species